GCACAAGCCGGCCUUGAAAUCAGAGCCUUUCCAGCAACUCCGAGAGCGUGUGCUCGGCGACCGCGGGCUUGGCCAGCGGCGCGCGCUCGGCGCCCCGGCGCCCCCAGCCCCACGCGCGCCGGGCGGGCGCCAUGGAGGAGGGCUCCAGCUCGCCCGUGUCCCCCGUGGACAGCCUGGGCACCAGCGAGGAGGAGCUCGAGAGGCAGCCCAAGCGCUUCGGCCGGAAGCGGCGCUACAGCAAGAAGUCGAGCGAAGAUGGCAGCCCGACCCCGGGCAAGCGCGGCAAGAAGGGCAGCCCCAGCGCGCAGUCCUUCGAGGAGCUGCAGAGCCAGCGCAUCCUGGCCAACGUGCGCGAGCGCCAGCGCACCCAGUCGCUCAACGAGGCCUUCGCGGCGCUGCGCAAGAUCAUCCCCACGCUGCCCUCUGACAAGCUGAGCAAGAUCCAGACGCUCAAGCUGGCCGCCAGGUACAUAGACUUCCUCUACCAGGUCCUGCAGAGCGACGAGAUGGACAAUAAGAUGACCAGCUGCAGCUACGUGGCCCACGAGCGCCUCAGCUACGCCUUCUCCGUGUGGCGCAUGGAGGGCGCGUGGUCCAUGUCCGCCUCCCACUAGCGCCGCGCCACCCACCUCCGGACCGGCGCGCCAGGGUAGGUGCUGCGCGCGCGACGGGCGCCCUCCGCUGCGGGGGGCGGGCGGCAGGGGCGCAGGGGCAUUGGGGCCUGCUCGUGUCUCCUCGGCGAGGCCCCGCGGGCCGCGGGGGCUUGGAUGCCGUGCGCUUUUCCUCUUAGCAAGGAAGGCGGGCGGGCGGGACGCUCACAGUCCCAGGGACACCCCUGAGUGCAGACUUCCACGCGAGGGUGUCAGUUGGGAACCGGCGGACCGGUGACUCCCCCGGCGGGUUCUGAAGAUACUUAGACAGAUGGUCGCAGUUUUCAUUCUCGGUGGUGUGUGGGUGUCCGUGGUUGGCGGUGGAAGGAGCGAGCAUCAGAAAAACCUCCUGGGGCCGGCUGGGGACUGGGAUAUGAGGACCAGCUGCCCUUUGCGUCCGCCGCAGCGCAGGCCGCCCGCGAAGCUGCCCGAGCCGGGUGUUGCCGGGCGAAUGGCUUCGCUUUCUUCCUGGGCAAGGGUAGAGCGCGUCCGUCGGGCGGACACUCAGAUCUACCCAGCUGCUCGCGCCUGGGGUCCCCGGCCGUCGGCGCCCUGGCCUGCCCAGUGGGCGUAGAGGUGCGGGCCUGCGGCUCCAGGGUUUGCCUGGGGAGGACGGGAGGAAACUGCCCUGCGCUUCGGGGCCAGAGCAGCCACAGGGCCGGGUGUGCCCGAGAAGGGCCCUGGGCCGAGAGCGCAGAGCCUGGAGCGCUGAGGCAGGCGGGUCCGACGCAGCCGCGCGGAGCCCCAGGGCGCCCGCAGGCAGGUGGAGCUGACCUAGGAACUGGGAGCCCUGAGUCCCAACCUUGACCCUGGAGUACCCGGGAGGGGCCCCGCCCAUCCAGCCCCGCAGGGAUGGGCGAGGGGUCCAGGCUGGGAAACGGGUCUGGGGGACAGGGAGGCUGUGCGCGCCGGGCCCUGCGCGAGGAGAAGGCUCGGGGGACACAGCUGCCAGGAGCACUCCAAGUUCUGGUUUCCUCUGGAAGAGCGAUUAGGGCGUCCUGCACCGGGUCCUUUUCACCAGACACCUUCCAAGUCCCUUUAGACAAGCUCGAGCCACGGAGGCGCCGUCCUUAGGCUCUGUGAGCAGGCGAGCCCCUCUCUCAUCCGCCAUCCAGGGCCAUGGAGGGGCACAGAGUUCUUUUUGCUGGGGCCGAGUUAAAAAUCCUUCCCCCUUAGUAUGUUUUAGUUCCUCGCACAUCUUGCGAUGUUUUUAUAAAAGACUCUACUUCACACAGAAGGAAUUUAGAUUAAUCAAGAGCACCCGGCCGCCUAUUCUCCCAAACAUAUCUAUUUCUUUUUUUAUGUGGUUCUAUAAUAUCUGCGAAUGUUGUUGCUGAGGCCACGAAAAGCUGAUCCAGCACAGCAUUUCUAAGAAGCAUUAAUUAUAUGCAUCAGCAAAGAAUCUCUAGACAUUUCAGUACAUUGUAAGUGAUUUUAAUGUUUGAUGUGGGAUGUUUUCACGUAUGUGAAGAAAACUGUCAAGACUAACAGCAACAGCAGCACAAAGCCUAAAUUGUCCUCUGAAAGGAAGAGAAACGCAAGAGAUGGUGGAGUGCGGGUGCUGCCGAUAUCUAUCCUGCCUUUCUUCUUUGGCCUGGUAUUUAAAAGCACAAUUAGACAAUAAAUCAGGUGUCUUUGUCCAGUCAGUUGGAUUCAUCUAAUAGAAAAAUCUCAAAAGGAUUUUUUUAGUAUUCUCAUUAAAUGCCUGAGUCUUCGGAGCAGGGUCCCAGACACCUGGCUUGGAGGGUGGGGGAAGGUGACCAUUACUUAUCAGACAUUUGUCCUGUUCCCUGCUGUGUGGUUAAAGAAAACAUCUUCUCUAACUUCUGCAUAGUGUGCACAGAUUUUCAGUAGAUUUCCUCACUCAACAAACUUUUUUUUUUCUGAGAACUUUUAGCUACUUUGAAGAAAUUGCAUGACCCCUUCACCAUCUAAUAUAUGUGAGCCUUUUCCUCCCUCCUGAAAAUUUACUUCUCAUAGGUGUUUGUUAACUGCUGUAUUCAGGAUGCUAGAAAAUCAGUUCUUCGUGGAGAAGAACAGAAAUGCAGAAUCCCAAUGGAGCUUUUGCUUGCCUAGAAGAAGUAGAAUGAAAGGCUGAGCUCCCUGGAAUAUAAGCAAUGUUUGGUUACAAAAUACCCAUCAAUAAGAUCUGAUGUAGGGAUUUGACCUGUUAAUGUGGGUCUUUCCCCUUAAAUAUCAGCAGUCCUUUCGGCCUUGCAUCAGGGAAGUCUUGCUACUCAUCUUGCUGGAGAGGGAAUUCCUCAGACUUCAGUGGCUCUUUGAGGCCAUUUGAGAUAGAAUACUUCACUGAGGUUUCCUGAAACUCAUAUUUUCAUACAGAUCUUGAGCUGAACCAUGUUCUUGUCAUCCUUGCUUCACUCUGUUCUGGGUAGACGGCACAGAUGCCGGAUUCCUUUUGCCUGGCAAAAAAAUUUAAAAAAAGAAAAAAAAACACCACACACAUAAAGUAAACUCUUUCUGAGCAGAGCACUAUAACUCAUAACUUUAGUUUAAAUCUGGGCUUUAAAAAAAACAAAUAUUUUAAUAAGCCAAUUUUAAAGGCUGAACUUUUAUGACGGUUUUUAAGCUUAGUAUUUAUAUUAAUCUAUUCUCACUGGUGUCUUUAAAAACCCUGUGAAUGCAUGCUGGAAUGUCUGUUUAUGUUUGUGUCUUUUCCUGGGAAAGGAUAAAUGUGCUGCAAAAAGCAAACCAAAUACAGAACUCUCCGCUAGCAGAGAGUUCACAAAUGAGGCAAUAAAAUUCAAAGAAGAGAUGAAUAAGUUACUGUAGCCAAGGACUGGAAAACCAUAAAGGAGAAACAGAAUCUAAGAGAUACAGACAUGGAUGCUUUCAAACGUAAAGGCAAGAUGAAACACUACAAACAGAAACUGAUUAAAAAGAUAUUCCACAUGGUCACCUGAGUCUACACGUGAUAAAAUUGCAUAGCACUAAACACACACACACACACGCACAUGCACGUGCACACACAUGUACACACGAGUGUAUGUAAAACUGGUGAAAUCUGAAUGAGGUCUGGGGACGAUAUUGACGCCAGUUUCCUGAUUAUGAUAAUUGCAAGAUGUCAUCACUGGGAGAAGGGAGUGAAGAUAUGAGAAUCUCUGUAUAAUAUUUCUUGCAACCUCAUGUGAAUCUAUAAUUAUCUCAAAAUUAAAAUAAAAAAGAUAUUCUACAAAAGUAUUAAAUCUAUAUAUUUAGAUAAGCAAAUUAUCUAAGAAAUUACUACUAAGAUUUAUCUCAGAGUAAUAAACUAAAAAUGUGACUUGAGCAAAACUCCACAUAUUUUUUCUGACGCCAUUUGAGGAAUCUCAAUAUAUUUCCAAUAUAUAACUAAUUAGAAGUGGUUCCCUGUAAGUCUUAAAUAAAGAAUAGUAUCCCAGAAAUAUGAAAGGUGAAAUACCAAUUAUAAUAGCAAUACAUUUAUUCCUAUACUAAUAAAGAAAAUAUUUUACACAAAAUUUUGGGAAAUAUCUACCUUAAACUGAUACCUGUGUUAUAUUUGCUUUUUAAGAUACUAAUUUUAUAUUAACUUUCAUUAAGCAUACACACACAAUUCUAAAGCCAAUGAUUUAUAAAAAUUAUUCGCCAAGAAGUAUAGAGAUUGAAGUUUUAGUAUUUGGAGCCAUAAGCAGUGAGAGGGAGAGGAUAUAGCAGAGGAGGGAGGGAGAGAGAGAGAGAGAGAGAGGGAGAGAGGGAGAGAUGGAGAGAGAGAAGGAGAGAGGGAGAGAUGGAGAGAGAGAGAGAGAGAGAGAGAGAGAGAGAAACUCAAACCCUAAGCCCAGUUAUAGUUAUUUUUAAUGAAUAAUUGUUUAGAAACAUAUUUUCUGUUUUUGUUUGGUAGUAACCCUUUGGAUGAGAUUGAGUGAUAUUAAACUAUGCCUUACCUGAAUGCUGAUUUGGAAAUGAGGGCGGUAGCAUUAACAAGGUGAAUUUUAAGCUCUUGUAAACUGAGGCACAGUGUGAUUUCUCUUCAGCGAUUAUUAAUGGUUGUCACUUCGAAAAGAGACUUGGAUCUGAAAUUGGAAAAGCCAACACAUAACUUGAUUCCAGCAUGAGGAAAAUGUUUUAGUGCUUAGUUAAAAAUAGAGUCAUUUUGAACCCAAACGGUAUCUGACGUGCUUCAGAUAUCUGGGCUAUUUCAUCCUCAACUGUGGUGUGAUAAUAUGAUGAUCCUGUGGUGAUGAAGAUGAGAGAGCGCGGCUGCGUGAGCUGAGUGCAGUGUCUGCUUGUCUACCGGGGCUGUCCCUCACUGAGCGGUUUUCUAUCCUAAUAUUGUUUUCCUCUGUUAUUUGACCAGGGAAAGAUUCAGAUGACCCAGCUUCUGUCGAAGCCUCAUGGAGAACUAUAGUUUUACUUCUCAGACCCGAAGAGCAGUGCCUUUAAACUUGGACACAUCUCUCCUUUCUUUAGUUCAGAUUUUCCCUUCACUGAAAUGAAAGACAGGGUUGAACUCAGAAGAGCUUUCGGUUAUCACAUUCGAUUAUCCUGGAAAAUACUCCUGUCUUUUUAGUUCACAUUCUGCCUUAAAAAAAUAGCCAUCAGUAUCUUCUGGGAGGAAAUGGUAAAUUUUGUUAUGUGGUCUGGCAUUAGAGUCCUAAUUCUCACUGUCUAAUUUGACAGACGGUUCACCUCUGUGUCUCUGGAUGUGCAGGUCUGGUGUGCGACUGACGGGAAAGAUUUGGGCAAACCCCUUGAUUUGUAUUAACCCUUCGACCUUGACUAAACAUCAGACCCCACCCUGUGGCUGAGGUCUGUGGUGUGGUCACAGGCAGAGUCUUUCCGGAGCACCAGGCAGAGCAGCUCCCCCCAGGAGGGGUUAGGGCAACUUUUUGGCCUUUUGCUGUGAGAGGGGAGGGUUAGAGAUCCUUUUGCUCUCUUCCCCGUGGAGAAAAAAAUGUUGAAACUUUCGUCGUUACUACUGUUUUUCUGUCGCUAUCCAGACAAAAUGCCACCCUAGCAUUUCUGUUAAAUCUCUGUAAGUAGAUGCCCCUGCUGAAGGGUGGAGAGAUUUUGGCCCGCUUCCGAGGCAGGGGCUCCAUGAGGGACAGCUUGGAGCAUGAACAACCUCCUAAAGGAAAGCACAGGCCAGUCAUGUACAAUCUCGGGCUCUGCUGCCACGGCAGCUUUCUUUGUCUGUUCUACUUUGAAUUAGCAUAUUCUGUAUGUGAAAAUGCAAGCAGGCAGCGUUUUCUUUGAAUCACGAGAUCUACAAGUACCGUUUCCUUUCCUUCAUCUCUGCUCUUUGAGUGGUUCGUGUGGCCGGUGCUCAGAGGGCUCGGAGUGGCAAGCUGGCUGCCUGCGUGGACUCCCUGGACCUGCGACUUGUCCUUUACUUCCACAACUCAGACUUUUAGCUCGGCGGAAGAGUGCACAGGCGCAGCGCAAGCUAGCUAGCCUGCAGGGUUGGCAAAACCUAUACCGACUGGGUCCCUUCCGGAAAGUUUGUGUGAACUUUAAAUCUCAGUCUCAGGGAGACUGUUUUGUCUUGAUACAUAACAGAAUAAGGCAGUUAUCAUUUCUUUGGGAAAUGCCUAAAAUACCGCAAAUUGGAAGGGAAGGGAAAGGAAGGAGGAGAAGGCAUACUCCUCUUUCUCAAAUCGGGCAUCUACACGUCUCUGUUCACAUCAUUGACACCAAUGGGCGAACAGUGUCUUCAUUGAGGAUUAAUUUUCCUGAAAUCAAAUAAUCCCAAAUUGCAUACUACAUAUAUACUGGUUUCUAACUAGUCAACAUCUUCAACAUAUGCCCAGCCGCCUGGCUUUCCUCUCGUUCAUGAUAAUCUGCAUGCGUAGAUGGGAAGCUAGGAGAGAAAGAUGUGAUCAUUUCGCAUUCCUUGUUUUCUGUCUGGUGAACAUUUCUUCUCCAGCAAGUGUUUCCUACCGCUUCCCCCAAACCUGCAUAUACUCUUCUAUAUUCUUUAGUUGAAACAGCAUCUUUUAAAAACAUGAUUAACUGAAGUCCGCUUGAGGUUUCACUUUAUAAAAAAGUAAUAGAGGAAGAACGAGAAGCCCACCAUCAGGUCCCGUGAUAGCUCAGUCACACGUGGAAAUACAGACUGUAAAUACAGAAUGGCCGAGGACCCUCUGAGCAAAGGUCAUCUAGGGGCUCCCGAAGCCUCGUGCGGCCCAUAGAUGUGUGCUCAGCACCCCCGCCUCAGUGUGUGCUUGGCGACUCCCUCUCCUUCGUGGGCUCAUGUUACUAUUUUCUAAAAGUAUUGUUUCACUGAUACCAGAACAGGAGUGCUCCAAACAGAUAUCUGUACCCUAAGAAUCCCAGGGUGCCCUGUUUUUGUUGAUUUCUCUGGUGCAGAAGGACCUGUUUCCACGAUCCCCAAACUCCCUGGGGGCCGUGCGGUGGCUGUGGCAGAGGGGGUGCAUCCAGGACUGGCGUUUUAUGGCCCCCGAGGUAGGGUCAGGAGAGAGCUUAUCUUGAGGUCCCGUCUUGUGUGACUGCGAAGGUGUUAAUAGGCAGGGUCCAGGUGGCCCAUGCGAGCUGGCAGCAUUGGAAGGGUAGAAUUAAUUGAAGGGCAUUUUACUGGGUGUUAAAUUAUUGCUAAUUCCAAAACUUUCUUUCAGACUAUUUUUUUCUGAGAAUAGAGAUUUCCUUCUAAUUAAACAACAGGCAAAAGAUGAGCACGGUUACUCACCUCUCUGCUCGUUUCAGUGUUGCUGUAUGUCAUCUCCUUUCUUGUUUUACUACAGUUCACAAGUGAAUAAUAUCAUGUAAUUUCAGUGUGGAACAAUGUAAUUUCCAUGUGCGUCCCCAGCAACCCUGUGUACAUUAGUCUAUCAUUUAUAAUUUAUAACAUGGAAAAGUUUUUUUUUUAUGAAGGACAAAAUAAAAGAGAAGGUUAGGAUGUGAAUAGGUCAAGUGAUAUAUGAAGAAUUUCACAAGGGAUCAGGGCUACGGAAGGGACUCAGGUCUCUUAAGAAUAGGUCCCAUUCUGUAUUUAUCUUCAGGAUUGUGUUGGGGCCGUGUGCCUCUCUCUGCUGCUGGCCAUGGGAGACCCGGCACCUCUUCCUCAGUGUCCCUCAGAGACAUAGAAGACAGCAGUUUCUCAGAAAAAGCACCCUUCCUGCCGUUCUCAGAAAAACAACACUGUGAAAAUCCAGCAGGGCCCCUCCACACUGCUGCAAUAGUGCCACGAGGGAGGCCGCUGCAGACACAGUCACUUGAAGAGGACCUCAGGUGCCUUCCCUUCCUGUUUGGUCCCAGGCAUCAACACUGCCCAGCAAAGUGUGUCCAAGAAGCCCCAGAGGGGGCCGUGUCUCUGAGGGGCCUGUGACAAUCGCAGGUGAUUCAGAUGCCAGAGAAAGCAGAGGCCCCCAGAGGAAGGUGGUCAGGGGGCCAUCUGCUGUGCCUGGGGUCAAGGACCACUGGAGGGAGCUUGGGUUGGCCUGAGACUGUUCAGGGGAGGGGCACCAUGGGCAUGGUGCCCCUGCAUGACGGGCGGGCCCUCCCAUGAGAGAGGAAGAGGGGAGCAAGAGGAAGGACGCUGCUGGCUGUUUGCAAGUAGCUGUCCCACCACCCUGGCACUUCCCUGGUCCCUGAGGCUGGACGGGCCUUGGAGCCCAUCUUCGCUAAGGCCCAAGUCACCUAUCAGCUCGUGCUGAUGAAUGUCUGAGCAUGAGCCCAGCACGGCUCAGCAUUUGCCAAGGUUAAGGAAAGGAAGUGGUAACUCAGCAUUGAUUUCCUCCCCCUGGAUUUAAUAGCGAUAGAUCUAAACCUGCAGUCAGAUAUCACUUUGAAAGCCUUGGCUCAUCUAAAGACAGCUUCCAAGAGACGAUCAGGCCAGGCCACUGCUGCGGUUUGCAGAGGAAGCAGGACCAGCCCUGUCUUUGCUGAAAGAAGCCAAACGACCAUCUUGUCUGUCUCGUAAAGCAUCCUUCUGCUUGAAUAGCAGAGCUCUUUGAACGGCAAUAAAAUAUUACAUUGAGGCUGGGCGCAGUGGCUCAUGCCUGUCAUCCCAGCAUUUUGGGAGGCCAAGGUGGGUGGAUUACCUGAGGCCAGGAGUUCGAGACCAGCCUGACCAACAUAGUGAAACUCCAUCUCUACUAAAAAUACAAAAAUUAGCCACGUGUGGUGGCACACGGCUGUAAUCCCAGCUACUCAAGAGGUUGAGGCAGGAGAAUCACUUGAACCCAGGAGGCAGAGGUUGCAGUGAGCUGAGAUCGCGCCACUGCACUCCAGCCUGAGCGACAAAGCGAGAUUUCAUCUCAAAACAAACAAACAAACAACAAGCAAACCAACACCAUUACAUUGGGCAGAUGACAGACUUUGUCCUCCCGGCUGGUUCCUCCAAAGCCAACUGGCCUGGGGGUUCUCUGUACCAGGCUCUUGGACAAUCAGCUUGUGUUGUACUGUUUCCUGAAAGUUGCAAAUAUUGUUGAAUGUUAAUUACAUAAUUUCACUUUUUCUAACCAGAAAGAGGAAAAGAGGAAGUGGGGAGGCAGAAAGUGAAGCUGCUGUGCAUUUCUGCCUCCCUGGGCGCAUCCACCGGGCUUUCUCCUACUUGGUUCAUCACAAUGUGAAACCAUAAUUAACUAAUUCUGAGAACUUUUAAAUGCUUGUGACUAUACAUGAUCGGUGUGACUCUCUACAACAGAUUUUGCAAUUAAUUGAAGUCACUGUUUCUGGAAUAAGUCAUAUGGGAUUCUUCCCUUUAGUAAGCUUUUUUGAGGUGGUAUUUUUCUAAUUUGGGAAAUUUUAAUUAGGCAGAAACCAAAGGCUGUUGACUUUGCGAGAGGCAAGCUAGCUCCCCAAGUGACUCUCUUGGUCAGAACCCAUUGUCUUGUGUCUGGGGGAUCCACGGUUCAGAAUAAGACUUGACUGAAGUUAAGUCUUGACUCAAGUUAAGCAGUGGAGAACACUUUUCUGCCCUCAGCCUUGCAGUUUCCCAUGUGGUCCGAGGCAAGUCAUGGCCUCUCUGGGCCUCAGUUUCCCCGUCUGUAAAAUAAUGGACUAAGUUUCUUAUAGCCCUCUGGCUACUAGAAUUCUAAGAGCCAAUAUAACCCUGCAAUUCCACUGCUAGGUAUAUACCCCAAAACACUGAAAACAGUUUUGUUCAAACAAAAACUUGUACAUGAAUGUUCAUAGCAACAUUAUUCACAAUAGUCAAAAGACGGAAACAGCAAAGUGUCCAUGAACUGAGGAUCAGUAAAACGUAGCCCAUUCGUACAAUGGAAUGUAAUUCAGCCAUAAAAACAAAUGAGGUUGGGCACAGUGGCUCACGCCUGUAAUCUCAGCACUUUGGGAGGCUGAGGCGGGUGGAUCACCUGAGGUCAGGAGUUCAAGACCAGCCUGGCCAACAUGGUGAAACCUCAUCUCUACUAAAAAUACAAAAAUUAGCCGGGUGUGGUGGCGGGCGCUUAUAGUUCCAGCUACUCGGGAGGCUGAGUCAGGAGAAUCGCUUGAACCUGGGAGGCAGAGGUUGAAGUGAGCCGAGAUUGCACCACUGCACUCCAGCCUAGGCAACAAGAGCGACACUCCGUCUCAAAAAAAAAAAAAAAAAGUGUAAUAUGUGCUACAGCAUCGAUGAACCUUGAAAACAUUAUGCUAAGCUCAAGAAGCCAGAUGACUACAUAUUGUGAUAUUUGGGAUUUCAUUUAUAUGAAAUGUCCCAAAUAAGCAAAUCCAUACAGGCAGAAAGGAGACUGGAGGCUUCUCGGGCUUCAUGGGAGGGGGUGUCGGGGGUGAGUGCUGAACAGGUGUGGAAUUUCUGUUUGGAAUAAUACAAAACGCUCCAGAACUAGGUAGUGAUGAUGCCUUCACAACAAGGUGUAUGCACUAAAUUCCACUAUGCUUUAAAAGCUCAAAUGAUAAAUUUUAUAUUGUAUGUAUCUUACUACUAUCACCAAAAAAAAAAAAAAUCCUACUUCCCAGACCAUGUGCAUCUCUGGUAACUGAGGUGUUCAGUUGGGGGUGGAGGGGCUAAGGGGCUAAGCGUUCACCCAUCCCUCACUUUUCAGAGAUGUUAUCCAGUUUAUCCUCCUGCUUCAGCACUUAUCCAACUCUUCUAGUUGUGCCUAAGAGCAUUUUCGACAUCUAGUUCCUAAUGUGUUUAUUCACACACACACAUGCAUGCACGCACACGUGUGUCAAACAAUUCUGAGGCACACUGUUUCUUUUGCCUGCCCUCUGCUUUUUGUGACAUGUUGAGUACACCUCUUGAAGCCUCUCCACAGUAGACUGAGUUCUCACCCUCUGGGGGCCGAGGCAGAGAGGGAUUCACGCUAAGCCUCCAUGCUGCUUGCAGUCAGCCUCUAGAUGAGAGCCAGGAGCAUUUGCCAUAUCUGUAGUGGGGGAGUCUGGUACCUGAUGGGAAGACACACAAGGGUGGCCCAUGAGUGCACACCUCUCGCCUCCAUCAGCAGGCUGUCCACAGCCCAGGGCUCGUCUGCCCGCUCGGUGGACCGCUUCAGGCUGGUUCUGGGCUCAGAGGCCCUCAAGGGGUUGGUGCCACCUCCAGAGUCAUGGGAUUCCUGCUCUUCGUGUGUGCAGGUGCUGCUCCCAGAAGACAGGGAGACACCUGGAGACAUCAGGAGGGUGGCACUAACUCGUUCAGCACCAGUUGUGUGUUUUCCUUCGGUUGCUCAUUUUUCUUUUCUUCCUCCCUGAUCUGUGCACCCUUUACAUGCUCCUCAGCCACCUGUGUUUGAGACACUGUCAAAACCGCCCACCCAAGAGGGAUGGGCCAGAGAGCUGCUCUGAGUGCUCCCUCAGCCAUGACCCCAUCCUGUUUCUUUUUAAGACAUCAUCACCUUUGUGGCAUUAUUCAGCCAGAUUUUGAGACACUGAUAGAAGCCCCAGAGAUGGUGUUGGGCUCCAGGAUUGUUUGAAUUUUCAGAAUCCAAACUGAGGGAUCAGGAGAACUUGGAGCAAAUCCCAAAGGAUCUCACCAAGGGUUGAGUUGCCAAAAGCAGACAAAAACUGUUCCGGGCCAGGCGCAGUGGCUCACGCCUGUAAUCCCAGCACUUUGGGAGGCCGAGGCGGGUGGAUCACCUGAGGUCAGGAGUUUGAAACCAGCCUGGCCAACAUGGCGAAACCCCGGUUCUACCAAAAAUACAAAAAUUAGCCGGACGAGGUGGUGGGCACCUGUAAUCCCAGCUACUCGGGAGGCUGAGGCAGGAGAAUCGCUUGAACCUGGGAGGUGGAGGUUGCAGUGAGCCGACAUCGCGCCACUGCCCUCCAGCCUGGGUGACAGAGCAAGACUCCACCUCAAAACAAACAAACAAACAAAAAACUGUUCUGUGUGAUGCUGCUGUUCCCCCAUUCCCAGUCCCAUUGCUGAGCAAAGAGGAAGCCACCAGGGAGGAGGUGCAAAGGGAAAGAGAUUCCCAAAAGCUGCCAAGAGAGAGGACUCCAGAUGGAGAUGGGAGGACUGGCCGCCGGGGCCCUGGCCUCUUCCUUAGUUAAGUUGUGCAGUCGGCUUGACAGGAACAUGGGUCACCCUCAAGCCAGACACAUCUUGGUCUCAUGGCCCCCAUCAGUCACCGCCGCAGGGGUUCUUCCCACAGCUGCCGAGGCGCAGAGCCCAGCUGCUUUGAUUCAUGAGCACGAUAUUCACAUUCGUAGCACAGCACACUUGCUUUUCCUGGGGGAUGCUCUGCUCUCCUUUCCGGCCACUUCUGCUUCGUGGUAACUAAAUUGGAGGCUCUACCAUGUCCAGCCUGUGCUCUGUAUGCCUGGGGGGACACUGGAGCCAGCGCCCAGUGAGUGUAGGGUAACUAGAAAGGGCACCUCCAUCACUGAUUUUCCAACUGACUUUCAGAGACACCAUCUGGAUGCUCUGAGGCAAGUCGGCACCCUUAGGCGCCCGGUGGGGGUAGUGUUCCGCCCUUGUCUCCUCCACUCCUCCUCCCUAUCUCUAUCUCACUAUCCCUGAAGGUGAGACCGUGGUGUCAGAGAAUGCACUGAGUCAGCGUCCCUUUUAGCACACCUGCCACCACCUGACUAACAGCAAAGCCAGGCUUCCUGGUGAAUCCCGUUACAGCCGUCCCGUUUAUCCAUGGUUUCGCUUUUCGAAGUUUCAAUUACAGACAGUCAACCACAGUCCAAAGUUAUUAAAUGGAAAAUUCCAGAAGAAAAAUUGAUACAUUUUAAAUUGCACACCAUUCUGAGUAUCUUGAUGAAAUCUCGAGCUGUCCCGCUCCAUCCCCCCAGUCUCUGGGUCAUCAGACAGAAAACACAUACAGUAUAUAUAGGGUUCCGUACCAUCCUUGGGAUCGAGCAUCCGCUGGGGGUCUUGGUGUGUAUCCCUGUGGAUAAGGGGGCCUACUAUAAUUUCAUCCCACUGAGGUGCCAUGGCCCAGGCCAGCAGGGACAGUCACAGCUGUGGACGGAACACCACAACCACACGUGGACGGAACACAGCGGGACAUCAGGCCAGUGUCUUACAGGUGGCAGUGGUGAACAUCCAGUGAGCUGAAGUGGUGUUUACUAAUGCAGGCCUUUCCGACCAUCUGCUUCCAAAAGCUGACCAUUCCAAGUCCAGCAAUCAUAAAUAAAAUAGCAAAAUAAUAACUCACUAAAUUAAAAUUGUAAACUUUUAUAUACCAAAAAACUAUGACAAUCAAAAAUUUUAGAAGAACCAGGAAGAAAAUAUUUACAAUCUGUUUUGCAAUGGGUUAAUGUUCUUACUAGAAAAAGGGCCUUUAAAAAAUUUAAAAAGACAAUUACCCCAUAUGGGCAAAAAAUAUGAAUUCAUAAAAGGAGAAAUUCAGUUGGUCAAUAAACGCGUGAAGUGUUGAACUUCAACAAUAAUCUAAGGAAUUAGAAAUAAAACAGAAGGAUAUUAUUUUUUAUUAAAUUGGAAAAAAUACAUAAUUAUAAACCCCAGUAUUGAGGAAGGUGGGGGAACCAGGCCAUCCUAUUUGCCAGAGGGAAGAAAAGCUGCACAAGCUUUCUAAAGGAAUUUUGAUGGUAGGUAAGAAAAGAUCUAGGACUGGAAAUACCCUUUGCAUGAACAAUUCCACUUCUAGGAAUUAUCUUAAGUGAAUAAUGGCAGAGCUGCCGAGCAACAAAGAAAUUCAUAUCAGCUUCAUUAAUAUUGGCGACAAAAUUAAAAUGUCCUGGGAAAUAGGUGGGAUAAACUCUGCUUGGUCCAUAUGCUGGAACACUAUGCAGUCAGCAAAUGUGUGUUGUAAGUGGAUGUUUAAUAAAGUGACGGCCAUGAUUGUAGGAUGGAGCAGUUCAUACGAUCUCAGGUUGGAAGAUCAAAGUGUGUGUGUGCAUGCACGGGUGUGUUUGUCUGGAGAGACAGUGGCAAGAAUGAAUGUCUCUGGACCAAAAGUUGAUGAAAGAGCUUCCUUUCCUUCUUAUGUUUUUUUUUUUUUAAUUUCUAGAUUUUCUACAGAUGCCCUGUAUUACUUCUGCAAUUUGAGAACACAAAUCCAGAGGUGCCCAGUGCUUUGUAAAGAUAGUGUGGCAGGCACAUGCUGACCGACCCUCCCUCCAGAGAAGGGCAACUACUCCCAGUCCCAUCAUAAGGUGGUGCAGUGAAAAUACAGCUGCCAUCCACAUAGGAAUGCCCUCACCGCAACCCCCACUCGGUGUUAGGACUUAGGUACUUGCUGAAGUAAUACAAAAGAGUGGCCUUCAGAAUAUAUUUUUGUAUCUUCUGCAAUCUACAUUAAAGAUGCCCGUCCAUCAUUUUCAGAAGAGGCCUUUCGUGUUAGGAUAAUUCAGAAGGAUGCACCCGGAAUGUACCAGCGCGGCUCCCUGAUGGAGCUGGCGACGUCCUUUGGCAGUGAGGGCUGUGCGGUUUCAGCUCUCCUGGCUGGCCUUUACCCGCUGGGCAGUUCCCAAAUGGCGCUUCAUGAUGGGACUGGCGCUCAUCCUCACACUGUUAGUGUUAGCAUCCUCAUUUCUUCUGCCUUUUUUUCACUCCUCUCUACGUAGUUGGGGAUAUCUGUUGUUAACCAUAAACCACUUCAGCUUUGGGGAAGCAAGUGGGAAAAAACCUCAAUGAACCCCUUAGCUGUUCCCCGAACCCAAAUUGAGAAGAGGUGCUUUGACCCCGACUCACUCAGUGGAGCUAGAAAAAGCCCUUUCUUAGCUACUAGAGACGUUUUAUUCACUUUUUACCAGGAUCAAAAAUGAAAACCACGUGUCCCCCUGGCCUUGUAUGAUGAAUGACAAAUGUGUGGGACUGAGGAGAGGUCGGCCGUAGAGUAGGUCUACCCCCUAUCCUGGGGGCAUCCCUGUGUGCCAGCUUCUCCAGAACCUACAGGGAGGAAGCACCAGGCGGCACCUCCCCAGAGGCUGGAGACCAACCAGGCACAGAAUCUCUCAUUUCCUUUCAGAUUCUUCGCCAUAAUCUAAUUUUCGUUAAGCCUGUCUUCCUUUACACCCUGGGCUACAUUUGACGCAUAUUUCUGGCAAAUUCUGGGACCACCUUUGCCAGAUGACCAAAUCCUUUUCGGAGAGAUGACUGAAAUAUUUGUAAGUUUCCAUCAGCAUGGGGGGAAGGGGCUGGAGGUGAGGGGGGACCUCUCGGGCUGUGCCGUGGUAUCCUCUCUUCUCCACAUUACACCCCAAGCACGCGACUGUGAGCGGCGAUCGGGGCCUGAUCCUCAGUUCGAAGACACAGAUGCUCACUGCUGUAGAGACAUAAAGAAACCAAGAGGUUAACUGCCAGGGUUAGUCCCCUCCGCGGGCCUCCUGCAUGAAUCAGAGCCGACUGGGAGCAGGAGUGACUCAGAGCCGUGGCUUUUUGUCCUCUGGCUGUGCAAAUAAACAGAGCAGGAAGGUUUGAAUGGGCCAGGCCUGGAGCAGAGUGCAGGGUUGGAGGCGGCUCCCAGUUCCAAGGCGCGCCCCACCCGGCCCCCAGGCCAGGUCAGCCUGGGGAGGGGAGAACUAAGGGCACCAGGCAGCCCACCCGGCCCGGCCAAGACCAGCAGGACAGGGGCCCAGAGGCUGGUACCCUCCGAGGUGCGGGAGAAGAGGAGGUGGGAGGGUGCGGGGCCGUGGCUUGCUCUGUGGGGACACUGCCCUGGGGUCCACCCUGCCGCGGGGUCCACUUGGUAUAGGCACCCACCAGGCCUGCACCCUACCCUGGGAAACACCUGUGGGGCUGUCCCCUUCUCUGAGCAUCUGUGAGGGGUUUUCCUCUCCUUAGGGACCCCUGGAAGGUCCAGAGUGCAGGGUGUGUGGCCAGGCCAGGCCUGGAGAUCCGCCAGGAGCAGAGAGCUCCGGAAGGCCUGCCGGGAGGACCUGGAGGAUGCAUCUACUGCCAGGCUCGGUGGGCCUGGCCACCCGAGGGGCCUCUUCUCUCCCCCUGCAAACUGACAUAAAGGGUUUGAGAAACGAUGGCAAAGCCACACGGGGUCACUCCACUCGUUGAAAGUCCACCCAGCAAGCAUGCAAGCACUGGGCAAGCAAAAUUAUUUUCAUCCUCAGAAUGGUCCAGUGAGCUGGGUGCUUUCACCCCCAUUUCACAGCAGGGGAAACUGAGGGACCUACGUAACUCCUCAGCUGAGAGCAUAGACAGAGCUGUGGGCAGAGCCAGGAAGCAAACCCAGCCAGUCCAAUUAUCUAAAAAAUGAGAUUUUUCCCUCCAUGCCAAGUAUGGCCCCAUCCUACUGAGUCGGGUCAUUAUGUCAGGGCUCUCUGCUUUAAACGACGGCGCACAGGGACCUCCCCAUGCAGCAGGGAGUACCCCGGAGAGUGAGGGGGGCCUGGAUCCAGCCGGGCACCUGUUGGCGUUCCUACACCCCUGCAGUCUGCUCUCAGGUGCUCCUGUGUUGGGAGCAAGGCCUGAGGCGCUCGUGUCAGGAUUCCCUGCGGGAGAUCGGGUAGCUUCAGCCUGGGCACAGAAGCCUCUGGGUCCAGAAGUGAGCAGAUCAAACCCCUGCCCUACUCACGUCACCCACCUGGCGUCUCCUGGCUUUGGGUGGCCCAGCCACAUGCCUGCAGGUUGAGUCUUUGAAUUUGCAGGGCCAGGGCCAGCUGUGCCAUCUGGUCUUUUGGAACUUUUUUUUUUUUUUGCUGUGGCAUUAGACAGGCAUCCCCUAACCCAGAGAACCCUCACUACCACUGCUCAGAGGUCCCUUUUUAUACGUGGUGCCAGUGAAUACACCAAUUUAGAUGCUCUGUGUAGGUAGGAAGCAAUCCCCACAGUCUGUGCGAUGUCACCUUGUGUGGUGGAAAUGCCAUUCGCUGUGAUGAACCCUUUCCAGUCACUCCACCGUACAGUGCCCCGCCGGGGUCGGAUCGGCCCUUCUUCCUGGUCCCAUCUCCCGGGAUCUGCUGUCCCCUCUUCAGGCCCUUCUUUGUGUGGUUAGCCUGGGGUACCUUUCCCAGUCACUGAUCUGACUCCGUCGCUUAACCUGUUAAUGGAAUAGCAUGGACGAUGCACCCCACACUGCAUCUGGUGUUACUGGGACCCACUGAAUGUAGGUUCCUUUACCCCCAUUUCACCUGCUGCCAGCAGGAUGGCCAGGCCUGCCAGGCACCGCCCAGGUUCCCCAUGGCACGGGCCCUGCCUGCUCUUCUGUGAGCUGCCUCUGAGCCCUGGGCACCCUCCAUGGCGAGCUCCCCAGGCCAGGAGCAUGUCUGUCCUUUUCACCCUGUACCCAGCACUUGGAGCAGUUGCCAGUAAGAACAGGGGUGAGGAGAUGAGCAAACCCACAUGCUUGUUCUUAAAGCAUGGCACCUUCGGCCAGGCACAGUGGCUCACACCUGUAAUCCUGGCACUUUGGGAGGCUGAGGCAGGCAGAUCACGAGGUCAGGAAUUCGAGACCAGCCUGGCCAACAUGGUGAAACCCCGUCUCUGCCAAAAAUAGAAAAAUUAGCUGGGCAUGGUGGUGUGUGCCUGUAAUCCCAGCUACCUGGGAGGCUGUGGCAGGAGAAUUGCUUGAACCCGGGAGGCGGAGGUUGCAGUGAGCUGAGAUCGCGCCACUGUACUCCAGCCUGGGUGACAGAGCGAGACUCCACCAUGGAAAAAAAAAAGAAAAGCACGGCGCCUUCAUGUUCCAUGCCUUCACGCUGCUCUCCCUUGACUGGAAUCUCCCUUGUGCCCGACAGGACUACCUCCAGUGUCCCCUCCUUGGGGAGCCUCUAACCACCCUGCUGGCAUUUGUGGUGACUCCUGAGGCCUCGUAUAUCCCCUAGCGGCCUGGCAGCUGCGACGGUUUGUCUGCCUGUCACCCCGGGAGCACCUUCAGGACUGUGUCCUUGUCAUGUAUCCGGAUGCCCGGCUCAGCCCAUGCCCUGCACAAGUGGGGGUCAUGGAGGGAGCCUCUGUUUCCCCACCAAGUACACCAAGAAACUACACUGUGUCUGAUGCAAA